UUUGUGAGCCUAGAAAAACAAACGCACUAUAAUCAAACUGAUUAUAGUGAAAUUUUCAAUAGAAGCUUGGAGAGUGGAUGUAGGUGCGAGUUGCAUUGAACCACUAUAAAAUUCUUAUGUUUAUAUUAUGCUUUCUCUCGUUUAUCUUUCUUACAUUCAAUACUUACUUUACAUAGUUAUAAUUAUUGAAUAGCAAUUUUCAUAUCUUAUUUCCACUACUGAAUUGCAUCUACUUCACCAACACUUAAGUUAGCUCAAUUAAUUGCACAUACUUAUUUAGAUCUCAAAUUUGAUUAAAAUUUUAUAAGAACCCAAUUCACCUCCCUCUUAGAUUGCUACCUUUCUGGGAAACAAGUGUAGAGACACUAAGCGACAAGUAUGGAUAGUUGUUAGAGCGCAACUAAUACUAAGCAUGACCAUAUGAGAGAUCACGUGAAUUUCUAUUUAAUCAUCAGUGAUCAGUACGAUGCUGUAGUUGUAUAAAUGAUCCUUCAAUCUGUAGUGACACGACUGCUCACAGUGAGGCUACUGGAGUAUGACUCCACAAAAAUAUGACCUCUUAGCCACUUAAGUCCUUGUAGUGUAUGUUGGUGAUAGUUGGUCACCUGUAAGAGCAGAGUGUGUAU
rnacentral:lncRNA from 1 species